rnacentral:rRNA from 1 species
UUAAAUUGAAGAGUUUGAUCAUGGCUCAGAUUGAACGCUGGCGGCAGGCCUAACACAUGCAAGUCGAACGGUAACAGGAAGCAGCUUGCUGCUUUGCUGACGAGUGGCGGACGGGUGAGUAAUGUCUGGGAAACUGCCCGAUGGAGGGGGAUAACUACUGGAAACGGUAGCUAAUACCGCAUAACGUCGCAAGACCAAAGAGGGGGACCUUAGGGCCUCUUGCCAUCGGA